GGUCAAAAUUCGAAGUAAAGUAGAUAAGUACGAUCAGCUGGCCCUACUAAACAACUCUACUUUGAGUUUGGGCCC
rfam:Haemonchus contortus, ISE/inbred ISE, WGS project CAVP01000000 data, contig: Hcontortus_contig_pathogens_Hcontortus_scaffold_4594